rnacentral:rRNA from 1 species
UUGGAGGAACUCUGAUGCAGCAACGCCGCGUGGAGGAUGACACAUUUCGGUGCGUAAACUCCUUUUAUGUGAGAAGAUAAUGACGGUACCACAUGAAUAAGCACCGGCUAACUCCGUGCCAGCAGCCGCGGUAAUACGGAGGGUGCAAGCGUUACUCGGAAUCACUGGGCGUAAAGCGCGCGCAGGCGGUCUUUUAAGUUGGAUGUGAAAUCCUAUGGCUCAACCAUAGAACUGCAUCCAAAACUAUUAGACUAGAGUCUGGGAGGGGAAGAUGGAAUUAGUGGUGUAGGGG